rnacentral:rRNA from 1 species
GACGUACCACCCAAACGUUAUUCGGAAUCACUGGGCUUAAAGGGCGCGUAGGCGGGUGCUCAAGUCCGUGGUGAAAUCCUCCGGCUCAACCGGAGAACUGCCUCGGAUACUGGGCGUCUCGAGUGUGGUAGGGGUAUGCGGAACUAUCGGUGGAGCGGUGAAAUGCGUUGAUAUCGAUAGGAACUCCGGUGGCGAAGGCGGCAUACUGGACCACCACUGACGCUGAUGCGCGAAAGCCAGGGGAGCAAACGGG